UACAGAGGGGGCAAGCGUUGUUCGGAAUUACUGGGCGUAAAGGGCGCGUAGGCGGCCUGUUAAGUCGAACGUGAAAUCCCCGGGCUCAACCCGGGAACUGCGUCCGAUACUGGCAGGCUUGAAUUCGGGAGAGGGAUGCGGAAUUCCAGGUGUAGCGGUGAAAUGCGUAGAUAUCUGGAGGAACACCGGCGGCGAAGGCGGCAUCCUGGACCGAGAUUGACGCUGAGGCGCGAAAGCCAGGGGAGCAAACGGG
rnacentral:rRNA from 1 species